rnacentral:rRNA from 1 species
UGGGGAAUAUUGGACAAUGGGCGCAAGCCUGAUCCAGCCAUGCCGCGUGAGUGAUGAAGGCCCUAGGGUUGUAAAGCUCUUUCACCGGUGAAGAUAAUGACGGUAACCGGAGAAGAAGCCCCGGCUAACUUCGUGCCAGCAGCCGCGGUAAUACGAAGGGGGCUAGCGUUGUUCGGAUUUACUGGGCGUAAAGCGCACGUAGGCGGACUUUUAAGUCAGGGGGUGAAAUCCCGGGGGCUCAACCCCCGGAACUGCCUUUGAUACUGGAAGUCUUGAGUAUGGUAGAGGUGAGUGGAAUUCCGAGUGUAGAGGUGAAAUUCGUAGAUAUUCGGAGGAACACCAGUGGCGAAAGGCGGCUCACUGGACCAUUACUGACGCUGAGGUGCGAAAGCGUGGGGGAGCAAACAGGAUUAGAUACCCCUGGUAGUCCACGCCGUAAACGAUGAAUGUUAGCCGUUGGGGGAGUUUUAACUCUUCGGUGGCGCAGCUAACGCAUUAAAC